rnacentral:rRNA from 1 species
UACGUAGGUGGCAAGCGUUGUCCGGAUUUAUUGGGCGUAAAGCGAGCGCAGGCGGUUCCUUAAGUCUGAGGUGAAAGGCCCAGGCUCAACCGGGGAAGGUCAUUGGAAACUGGGGAACUUGAGUGCAGAAGAGGAGAGUGGAAUGCCAUGUGUAGCGGUGAAAUGCGUAGAUAUAUGGAGGAAUACCAGUGGCGAAGGCGACUCUCUGGGCUGUAACUGACGCUGAGGCUCGAAAGCGUGGGGAGCAAACAGG